UACGUAGGGUGCAAGCGUUAAUCGGAAUUACUGGGCGUAAAGCGUGCGCAGGCGGUUUUGUAAGACUGUCGUGAAAUCCCCGGGCUCAACCUGGGAACUGCAUUUGUGACUGCAUGGCUAGAGUACGGUAGAGGGGGAUGGAAUUCCGCGUGUAGCAGUGAAAUGCGUAGAUAUGCGGAGGAACACCGAUGGCGAAGGCAAUCCCCUGGACCUGUACUGACGCUCAUGCACGAAAGCGUGGGGAGCAAACAGG
rnacentral:rRNA from 1 species